ACACGACAUAUGAGCGGACAAUACUCGCAACAAUAUUGUACAAUGGAUCUGAUUGGAAUUGCUUUUUCCAGAGACUCUGGAAAUAGAACUUUGCUUACAAAUGUACUAAAAACAACCAGAAUAUGAAGAAAUUUAGAAGGGUGCUUGCUAAGAGCGACGAGAGACCCCCCUCCUUAUGCACUGAAGAUUAGGUUUGCAAGUCUCCUUUUUUAGUUUAACUAUCUCAAAUGCUAAACGUGUGUUUCACGUAAGAUAACUGAAAUAUUUUGUGUCUUCAAGUAAGAGUUUAAACGAAAUGAAACUUAUAGGUAUGGAAAUUACAAAAUUUCCUACUGCAUGAUAUUUACGUUUCAUUCGUUUUUAUAGAGAGAUAUAUGAGAUGGAAUAAUAUGAUAAGUAUUACAAUAUUUUUCACUUUUCUCACGUUUGAAAAAACCCCGCUUGAAAUGAUCGAAAUAUAUCCAUUUAUGUAUUACAGUUUAUAUUCAACGUUUACGAGAUGUUGUACUACGCGAGAGAAUGUACGUGUAUUAUGUCGCCUUACUGCAAGUAGUUGGGCCAUUUGGACCGACAAUGAAUAGGUUUUUAAUUUUUUAACAAACACCCUUUGGACCAAUUCGCACGAGAUGACAAAGAAAUGCGCGAAGCAGUAUUAACAGAAACGGAUUGACCAGACCAGUUGGCACCGAUGAAAAAAAGCACUAUGCACAAUGUAUUUUGUGUUGGUAAUCACUGAU